UCGUUAGCUGAUGCAGCAUCAUCAAGAUUCACACCCAAUGGAAGGGCAGUGAUGCAAUCUCUGCCAAAGAUUUUGAGAUGAGAAUCUUGAUGAUGCUGCAUUCGCAGUGAA
rfam:Vitis vinifera, whole genome shotgun sequence of line PN40024, unoriented chromosome 8, chr8